GACGAACGCUGGCGGCGUGCUUAACACAUGCAAGUCGAACGGAAAGGCCCUGCUCUUGUGGGGUGCUCGAGUGGCGAACGGGUGAGUGAAACGUGAGUAAACUGCCCUUGACUUUGGGAUAACUUCAGGAAACAGGGGCUAAUACCGGAUAGGAGAUCCUGCUGCAUGGGGUGGGUUGGAAAGUUUCGGCGGUUGGGGAUGGACUCGCGGCUUAUCAGCUUGUUGGUCGGGUAGUGGCUUACCAAGGCUUUGACGGGUAGCCGGCCUGGGAGGGUGACCGGCGUCAUGAGGCCUGAGGGACGGCCCAGUCGGGUACGUUAGGCAGUAGGGGAGAGCAUGACAGAACGGGCGGGAGCGUGAGAUAGAAACGCCGCGUGCGUGAAAACCUCCUUCGGGGUGUAAACCGCUGUCGCCUGUGACGAAGCGUGAUUGACGGUAAUGGGUAAAGAAGCACCGGCUAACUACGUG
rnacentral:rRNA from 1 species